UGAUGCUCCUGCGGGCUGUCCCAGGUGGGGCUGGAGAUGCCUCAGUGCUGCCCAGCCUUCCACGGGAAGGACAGGAGAAGGUGCUGGACCGCCUGGACUUUGUGCUGACCAGCCUUGUGGCGCUGCGGCGGGAGGUGGAGGAGCUGAGAAGCAGCCUGCGAGGGCUCGCGGGGGAGAUUGUUGGGGAGGUCCGAUCCCACAUGGAAGAGAACCAGAGAGUGGCUCGGCGGCGAAGGUUUCCGUUUGUCCGGGAGAGGAGUGACUCCACUGGCUCCAGCUCUGUCUACUUCACGGCCUCCUCGGGAGCCACGUUCACAGAUGCUGAGAGUGAAGGGGGUUACACAACAGCCAAUGCGGAGUCUGACAAUGAGCGGGACUCUGACAAAGAAAGUGAGGACGGGGAAGAUGAAGUGAGCUGUGAGACUGUGAAGAUGGGGAGAAAGGAUUCUCUUGACCUGGAGGAAGAGGCAGCUUCAGGAGCAUGUGGACAAAGCCAUUGCUCUCCAGCCAGAAAACCCCAUGGCUUACUUUCUUCUUGGCAGGUGGUGCUAUCAGGUCUCUCACCUGAGCUGGCUAGAAAAAAAAACUGCUACAGCCUUGCUUG
rnacentral:sRNA from 1 species